rnacentral:ribozyme from 13 species
UUCUCUUUCUCUUUCUCUUUUUCUUUCUCUGACUUCUUUUCUUUUUGUUUCUCCUUUUUCGGGGGGUUAAAAAUAUCCAAAAGAGGGUCAGAAGU